rnacentral:rRNA from 1 species
UACGGAGGGUGCAAGCGUUAUCCGGAUUCACUGGGUUUAAAGGGUGCGUAGGCGGGCAGAUAAGUCAGUGGUGAAAUCCCCGAGCUUAACUUGGGAACUGCCAUUGAUACUAUUUGUCUUGAAUGUCGUGGAGGUUAGCGGAAUAUGUCAUGUAGCGGUGAAAUGCUUAGAUAUGACAUAGAACACCCAUUGCGAAGGCAGCUAACUACGCGAAUAUUGACGCUGAGGCGCGAAAGCGUGGGGAGUCAAACAGGA